rnacentral:misc_RNA from 1 species
AGAAAAAAUAAGAAACACUUACCACGUCCUGGCCUUUGUAAAAGAGGUGUGGAAGGAGGACUAGUUGAAGAUAAGGAUGUAACGGAAGAAGCUUGUGCUAAUAUAUCACUGUUAAGAUUGUUGUUAUUAUUAUGAUAUGGAAUGCUGUCUUCUGAAGGAACAGAGCACCUUGUUGUACGUGAUCUUGCUGGCCUAGGAGAUGCUCCAGUACGUAAAUGAGGUCUAUCCCAAGAAUCCCAAUAUAAAUUCAUAUCACUGUUAUCCAUAUCUCCUUUUAGGAGAACAUCUAAAUAAAGUGUUCCAUAUAUCGACGAAGAUUGUGCAAUGCUCUACAUAGUCUACGUAAUUCUUCCUCAUGUUUAAUAGUAGUUUCUCCCAACAUAGUACCUAACUCAUGCUCAGAUUUUUCUUGAAGAGCUUCAAGUGAAUUAGCUUUAGAACAAAUCAUCUAAAAUUUGUUAAUGAUGUAGAAAUGAAAAAAAAUCUCAAUAACUAUUUAAAUAAGAAUAAGAAUCUCGUUUCUAAAAAUUC